AGUCUCUUCGGAGAUGAGUACAGUGGCGCACGGGUGAGUAACGCGUGGAUUAUCUACCUAUCGGUACGGGACAACAGUUGGAAACGACUGCUAAUACCGUAUAAGCUGGUAACGGGAAAGGGGGCCUCUUCUUGAAAGCUCUCGCCAGUAGAUGAGUCCGCGUUUCAUUAGCUAAACGGUGGGGUAACGGCCUACCGUGGCAACGAUGAAUAGCAGGCCUGAGAGGGUGGCCUGCCACACUGGGACUGGAACACGGCCCAGACUCCUACGGGAGGCAGCAGUGGGGAAUAUUGCGCAAUGGACGAAAGUCUGACGCAGCGACGCCGCGUGGAGGAUGAAGGUUUUCGGAUCGUAAACUCCUGU
rnacentral:rRNA from 1 species